AGAGUUUGAUCCUGGCUCAGGAUUAACGCUAGACGGCAGGCCUAAUACAUGCAAGUCGAACGGCAGCACGGGUAGCAAUACCUGGUGGCGAGUGGCGCACGGGUGCGUAACGCGUAUGCAAUCUACCUUUAACUGAGGGAAUAACCCCUCGAACAGAGGGGCUAAUACCGCCAUAGGCGACUUCGAUCGGGACAUCCCAUAUGAAGUCAAACCUACGCGGGGUUACACACGAUGAGCAUGCGAUCCGCAUCUAGCUGAAGUCUGGCGUGGGUAACGGCGCGCCAGCCAGAGGCAUAACGAUCAGUAGUGGGAUCUUGACGACGGAUGAUCCCCCCACACUGGUACUGAGACACGGGACUCCCCGACUCCUACCUGGAGGCAGUCUUGACAAGUGACUAAUUCGGACCAAUGUGGCUGCCAGGCCCUGAAUUGCGGGCCGGAGCCCGGGCUUUGCCNCGAAUGUANGGUUGGCUUUUGUUCCACCUGUUCUGGCUGGCUUUAUCAGUUUGGGGAAUUCUGGGCUCCCAUGCUUUUUCUUUUGCGCGGGUCUGAUGGGUAUCCUNAA
rnacentral:rRNA from 1 species